AAUCGUCAGUAGGUUAGUUAUCAGAGAGAUAAGGAUUAGGACUGGCAGUGUGCACGGCACCAUCAGAAGGACUUCCUGUGUAGAGGCAAACAGUCUCCGACCCCCACCUCUGCUCUCUAGAAAGCUGAAAUUUUACAGAUGAGGAAACAGAAGCUCAGAGAGUUUGGGGUCACAAAGUCAGUGGGUGGCAGGAGAAAGAUUAGAUCUGGCUUCAGUGAUGUGCAAUUGCCUGAUAAAGGAGCAUGAAAUCAUCACACAGACCCCAGAUCGAGUCAGAACUGGAUCUUGUGUCCCCACCAUGAACUGGGGGAGGGGGAGGCUGUGGUAGGGAUGGCUGAGAAGCUCGGCUCUGCUCCAGGCCAACAACCCACCAGCUAAAGAAUCCCAACUGUUUUCCUCCUCCUCCCACACCCAUCCUGCCUCAGAGAUGGGACCAGCUGGAUCCAACAAAGAGAACACCAGCUGAGAGCUCUAUCCAGAGGUCACCACCGCCAGGAGAAGAUGGGAGAGCAAGGCUGAGAGAGGAGAUGGCAGCGGCCUGUGGGCAGGGCAUCUGUCAUGGAGAACAGAAACCCAGUGUUCAACUGUAGACUACCCGCGAAAGAACAACAAAUUCCAAGGGAGGGGCUGCCUAAGAAGUACCUGACCAAUCCUUAUAAAAACCAUCAAAGUCAUCAAAAAUAAGGAAAGUCUGAAAGUCUGUCACAGCCCAGAGAAGACUAAGAAGAUAUGAUGAUCUAAGGUACUGGAUGGGAUCCUGGAGCAGAGAAAAGGACCUAUAAGGCAAACGCUGCAGGGCCAUUAUUUUAAUGUGUGACUGAGGCCGUUGCAUCAUGGAUUCCAGAGACUGAAAGCCCAACCAGGCUAACCACAUGGAAGAACUCUCCAAAUGUUCCCCACGGGGCCUCUGAAGAACCAAAUAUGGAGCAUCGGCAAAGAGCCAGAAUGCCAGCAGCAAGCAGGAGGCAACGAUGACAAGGAACAACCCGGGAAGGCUUUGCCCCUUAUCACCAUAUUCCUUCCAGCCUCUGCUGCAGAUGAGAGAAACAAGAUGCUGUGAUCUAAAUGUCCAUGCCCACCCCCCACAAUUCAUUGUUAAAACCUCACCUCCAAGGUGGUGGCAUGUAGAGGGGUGUCUAGGUCAUGAGGGUGGAGCCCUCAUGAGUGGGAUUAUGCCCUCACAAGAGACUCAAGAGAGAUCCUUCCCACCUCACUCCAAGCAAGGACACAGCUAGAUGGCACCAUCUGAGGACAUGGUCCCUUAUCAAACACAAUGGCUGCUGAGAUCUUGAUCUUGGACCACCCAGCCCCUCAAAACAUAAAAAAAAAUAAUUUCUGGUGUUUAUAAACCACCCAGUCUACGGCAUUUUUGUUAUAGUAGCCAGAACAGACUAAGAUGCAGGAGAGGAAAGCAGAGAAGGAGUAAAAGCACACAUCAGGCCACCGUCCAAGCGCCACCCCACUGCAGGUGCCUCAGACAUGGGCAGGCUGAGUUGGGAGCAGGUGAGAUCAUGGAAUUGGGUGGAAAAGUUUUUAUUUCAGACUGGACUGGACCUUUUUACCUAUAAGUGAGUUAUAAUGACCUAAACAAGGCAGUUCUUCUUGCUGGAGGGGACUGGAAAGUCGCAAGACCUGCCUAAGAGGUCACAGAUGUUUUAAAUUGUGCUGGGAAAAGAAAAACUAAAGUUUUCCCCAACUGAACAUCUAUAGAAGUCAGCCUAUUCGAUACAUGUACUAUAAAAUAAAAAUCAAACGAACAACA